GUCUCAAAGAUUAAGCCAUGCAUGUCUAAGUAUAAGCAACUAUACUGUGAAACUGCGAAUGGCUCAUUAAAUCAGUUAUCGUUUAUUUGAUAGUACCUUUACCUGGAUAACCGUGGUAAUUCUAGAGCUAAUACAUGCUAAAAACCUCGACUUCGGAAGGGGUGUAUUUAUUAGAUAAAAAACCAAUGCCCUUCGGGGCUCCUUGGUGAAUCAUAAUAACUUAACGAAUCGCAUGGCCUUGCGCCGGCGAUGGUUCAUUCAAAUUUCUGCCCUAUCAACUUUCGAUGGUAAGAUAGAGGCUUACCAUGGUCUUAACGGGUAACGGGGAAUUAGGGUUCUAUUCCGGAGAGGGAGCCUGAGAAACGGCUACCACAUCCAAGGAAGGCAGCAGGCGCGCAAAUUACCCAAUCCCGACACGGGGAGGUAGUGACAAUAAAUACUGAUACGGGGCUCUUUUGGGUCUCGUAAUUGGAAUGAGUACAAUCUAAAUCCCUUAACGAGGAACAAUUGGAGGGCAAGUCUGGUGCCAGCAGCCGCGGUAAUUCCAGCUCCAAUAGCGUAUAUUAAAGUUGUUGCCGUUAAAAAGCUCGUAGUUGAACCUUGGGCCUGGCUGACCUGUCCUCCUAAUCGAGCGCACGGGUUCGGUCGGGCCUUUCCUUCUAGGGAACCCCAUGCCCUUCACUGGGUGUGGUGGGGAACUAG
rnacentral:rRNA from 1 species